GAUGAACGCUGGCGGCGUGCCUAAUACAUGCAAGUCGAGCGAACAGAUGAGGAGCUUGCUCCUCUGACGUUAGCGGCGGACGGGUGAGUAACACGUGGAUAACCUACCUAUAAGACUGGGAUAACUUCGGGAAACCGGAGCUAAUACCGGAUAAUAUAUCGAACCGCAUGGUUCAAUAGUGAAAGACGGUUUUGCUGUCACUUAUAGAUGGAUCCGCGCCGCAUUAGCUAGUUGGUAAGGUAACGGCUUACCAAGGCAACGAUGCGUAGCCGACCUGAGAGGGUGAUCGGCCACACUGGAACUGAGACACGGUCCAGACUCCUACGGGAGGCAGCAGUAGGGAAUCUUCCGCAAUGGGCGAAAGCCUGACGGAGCAACGCCGCGUGAGUGAUGAAGGUCUUCGGAUCGUAAAACUCUGUUAUUAGGGAAGAACAAAUGUGUAAGUAACUAUGCACGUCUUGACGGUACCUAAUCAGAAAGCCACGGCUAACUACGUG
rnacentral:rRNA from 1 species